rnacentral:tRNA from 1 species
CCUGGGGUAGCUCAGCCUGGUAGAGCACACGGUUGAUAACCGUGAGGUCGUAGGUUCAAUCCCUACUCCCAGGA